GAUGAAGAACGUAGCGAAAUGCGAUAAGUAAUGUGAAUUGCAGAAUUCAGUGAAUCAUCGAAUCUUUGAACGCACCUUGCGCUCUUUGGUAUUCCGAAGAGCAUGCCUGUUUGAGUGUCAUGAAAAUAUCAACCUUGACUUGGGUUUUGUGCUCUAGUCUCGGCUUGGAAUUGGGUGCUUGCCGCUUUUACGAGCGGCUCACCUUAAAUGUAUUAGCUGGAUCUGUCUUUGAGACUUGGUUUGACUUGGCGUAAUAAGUAUUUCGCUAAGGACAUUCUUCGGAGUGGCCUCGUUUCUAGGACGCUUGUCCGCUUUCCAAUACAAGUUCCACCUCGUGGACAUGACUUUUUAUUAUCUGGCCUCAAAUCUGGUAGGACUACCCGCUGAACUUAAGCAUAUCAAUAAGCGGAGGA
rnacentral:misc_RNA from 1 species